rnacentral:lncRNA from 1 species
AUUCACUGUUUGGCUAUUUUAUAGUGUUACUAUCAUAUUGUGACAUCUGUGUGUGAAUCAAGCUUCACACAAAAAUGAAAUUGAAAGCUGAAGAAGGAAGACUGCUAAAGUGUGAGCCAUUUGUGUUCACAAGCUUGCUGUGUCAGGAGGAGUUCUCCGGGAACUGGGUGGCUCAUGAGAGGUGGAACUGAAGAGAGUUUAAUGAAGGAACAAUUUAUAAAGGUGAGGGAAGGUUAAGGGGAGAAACAAGGGACAGUGACAAACCCAGAAACUCCACGCAGCAGGGAGCCUUUACCACCCCAGGCCUGAAGAAGCAUGUGGUUUUGCUGCUCCUGGAUCUGGAUAACACUGUAGCUGUAGGAGAGGAAGCAGGUGAUGGGGCGGGGGGGUGACCACAGUGGAGCAAUGUGGCCACUGUUAGGUUGCAUAAGGCAAAGAGGGAGCCAGGGUGAUUAAAAUCCCCAACCUUCCUUUUUCCCCACCUUUGAAUUUCCUUUCAG